CCUACGGGGGGCAGCAGUGGGGAAUAUUGGACAAUGGGGGGAACCCUGAUCCAGCCAUGCCGCGUGUGUGAAGAAGGCCCUCGGGUUGUAAAGCACUUUCAGUGAGGAAGAACGCCUGGUGGUUAAUACCCAUCAGGAAAGACAUCACUCACAGAAGAAGCACCGGCUAACUCCGUGCCAGCAGCCGCGGUAAUACGGAGGGUGCGAGCGUUAAUCGGAAUUACUGGGCGUAAAGCGCGCGUAGGUGGCUUGAUAAGCCGGUUGUGAAAGCCCCGGGCUCAACCUGGGAACGGCAUCCGGAACUGUCAAGCUAGAGUGCAGGAGAGGAAGGUAGAAUUCCCGGUGUAGCGGUGAAAUGCGUAGAGAUCGGGAGGAAUACCAGUGGCGAAGGCGGCCUUCUGGACUGACACUGACACUGAGGUGCGAAAGCGUGGGUAGCAAACAGGAUUAGAUACCCCGUAGUC
rnacentral:rRNA from 1 species